rnacentral:rRNA from 1 species
UGCACAAUGACUUGCGGGUUCAAUUGCCGCGGUACCCUGACCGUGCUAAGGUAGCGUAAUCAAUAGCCUAUUAAUUGUUGGCAUGUAUGAACGGCACGACGCUGGUGGCGCUGUCUCUAUGAUGUUUUGUUGAAUUUAACCUUUUGGUGAAAAGGCCAAAAUCUCCCUAAAAGACGAUAAGACCCUGUCGAACUUUAGGCUAGGCAUCGGUUUGCACCGAUGAUGAACCUUUGGUUGGGGAAACCGAGGACCAAAUAAAGCGUCCACCCGUAACUGUUAGCCAAGAGGUUAAUUACCAAAGUUUGAAUAAAAGGAUCUGGCGGGAUAUAAGUUAUUAGAGUGAUCCGGAUAAUCUUCGAUCGUGGGAAAAGUUACCGCAGGGAUAACAGCGUAAUCCUCUCGGAGAGACCACAUUAAUGAGGGGGUUUGCGACCUCGAUGUUGGCUUGGGGCGUCCCGAAAGUGCAGGAGCUUUCAAAGGUUGGUCUG